rnacentral:rRNA from 1 species
AUUGAACGCUGGCGGCAGGCUUAACACAUGCAAGUCGAGCGGAGAUGAGGUGCUUGCACCUUAUCUUAGCGGCGGACGGGUGAGUAAUGCUUAGGAAUCUGCCUAUUAGUGGGGGACAACAUUCCGAAAGGAAUGCUAAUACCGCAUACGUCCUACGGGAGAAAGCAGGGGAUCUUCGGACCUUGCGCUAUUAGAUGAGCCUAAGUCGGAUUAGCUAGUUGGUGGGGUAAAGGCCUACCAAGGCGACGAUCUGUAGCGGGUCUGAGAGGAUGAUCCGCCACACUGGGACUGAGACACGGCCCAGACUCCUACGGGAGGCAGCAGUGGGGAAUAUUGGACAAUGGGGGAAACCCUGAUCCAGCCAUGCCGCGUGCGUGAAGAAGGCCUUAUGGUUGUAAAGCACUUUAAGCGAGGAGGAGGCUACUGAGACUAAUACUCUUGGAUAGUGGACGUUACUCGCAGAAUAAGCACCGGCUAACUCUGUGCCAGCCGCCGCGGUAACAC